GAAAGACACUAAAAGAGAACUGUGAGGCUUUGAGAUCUAUUAAAGUGGAAAAGGAAGCUGAAUUAAAAAUGUUGAAGAUGAACAUAGGCGUGACUGAUGAACUCUUUGGACAAAGCAAGAUGGUCAUAGACAAGAAGCUGAGAAUGAAAGAACGUGAGAGGGUGGAAAAGGAGAAGCAGCUCUCUCAUCAGCAGAAAAGAAGGUGAAAUUGGCUGCAGAAGAAAUGCAGCGCUGCAAGCAACAAACUGAUCAAAUGCGGCAACAGGUGCAGCAAGUAGAGUCCACCUUCAGACACCAGAUCGCUGUGCAUGAGAAGAAUGCUCAAGAUAGUUGGGUAAGUUUUGUUUUCCUUCCUUCCCUUUGUGCACAGUCUGUCACAACUGAAGCUGGGUGUAUUUUUCUCCAACAGAUCAAGGCUCGGAUUUUGGAGAGGGAGAUAGUGGAGCAGAGCAGGGAAGCCGCUCACUUGAAACACAGAUUGGAGAUAAUGUCCCAAAAGAGGCUUCCUGAGGGAUACAGGCCGUACGAACCAAUGUUGCAAAGACCUGGGAUGCAGAACCCUGCACAGAGAGGUAGGGAGCACAUUGUGAAGUGCAGCCACUUAAUUUCUGCUGCAAAACCACUCCAUGUCCC
rnacentral:lncRNA from 1 species